rnacentral:hammerhead_ribozyme from 1 species
AUCCAGCUGACGAGUCUUGAACAGGACGAAACGUGCGUCUAGGAU